GCUGAUGGGAUAGUAGCCACAGGAAGUCCGAUACAAUAUUUCAUGCUGGCGGCCGAGUUGAAUUCUAGUGGAAAAUUGUGACGUGGAAUGGUGCGAGUAUUCGUGGAUUUUAAUAAGAAAUGAACUGGAAUUUCCAAAGUUUUUGCUGAAAAUGUACUUCAGUUGGCUUUGACAUGAACUAUUCUGCAUUUUUUUUUCAAGCUUACACCAACAACAACAACACCUCACAGUCAGUGUUUGUCAUAAUGCCCUAUGAGGUCAUUUGCAUUAGAAAUAUUUUAUCAGGCUUCCUGUGGCUAAUAUCGCAUCAGCCUUUUCGAACUGAAUGAGAAAAUGGUGGAAGGAUGUAAAGAGUUUGUUUAACAAGUUAAAAUCAAGUAUAUGGAGACAAAUUCAAUCGGAAAUCACUUUUAUGGAUCAUUCUUGGGUCAUUCUUGGUCAUUCCAGCUCGUUCUGGUUCAUUCCAGCUCAUUCCGGCUCAUUCCAGCUCGUUCUGGUUCAUUCCAGCUCAUUCCGGCUCAUUCCAGCUCUUUCCAGAAGACAGUACAUCACAGUAGACAAUAAGCUUCAAAACAGAGAAAUUAAGACACUUCCCUUUUGGGUUCAUCAGCAAGGCCACAGCUAGUGAACUCAAAGUGGGGUGGAAAUUCACCCUCAUCACAGCCAAGAAGCAAUGGAAUAAUUCUUGAAUGAGGGGAUCCAUCUAAGGAUUAGAAGAAAAGUGAGCAGAAGCAAAAGUAAACUUUGCGGUUUUGGUGAUAUUAACAGCAAACGUAAUUUUUUAAUUUGUAAUAUAGCGGACCUGCCAAAUUAAAGCUUCCCAUGUGAACAUCGAUAUCUGCAGAUUGUAAGACAUCAUUUCAAAUGUGCAACGCGGGCGCGGGCUUAGCUUUUGCAUGUUAAACUGAAUCAUCAUUUGCUUCGAGCGAAAUACAUUAAAAUACAAACGCAAAAUUGCGCUGAA